UCUGUCCAAAGUUAAAAAAUAUCAGCACCUCUAAAGCUUGUUUAUUUAAUCUGGACACAAACAAAAAAAUAUCAAAACCAUAGUUUUUGGUUUUAUGGGGAGUUACAUGCUGAUUCAUUUCUAGAAUUACUGAAUAUAAAUCAAACAUACAUACCUACAUUUAAAAAACGAUUGUCAGGUAAGUUUAAUAUAUCGUUUGGCCUCCUACAACUGUUUUUUUUUUUUUUACACAUCACUAAAAUCUUUCCUCGUAAAGACAUUCAUUACGUUUUAAUAGUUCAAUCUGCUUCAGUAGAUCACGAAUUUGAAACUAGCUAGUAGAACGUUGGAAGGACUUUAUACACAAACUUAGAGAGGGUUUUACAAAGACCAGGUGCAACCAAAUAGGUAGUGAGGUACUGGUUACUAACUUGUCAUUUGCAGUUGCCUAGCAUUAUAGAUCAGCACAGUACAGACAAUAACUAACCGGACCAGCAGCUCUGCUCUCUGUUGCAGAGCCAGAGCCACCUGAUGAGUCCUCUGCAGGGAGUCAGAAUGGAGCAGAGCCUGGAAAGACAGAAAGUGAAAGACAAGUAACCUCUAUGGCCUGCUGGAGGCGCUCGUGCUCCCUCUGCAGCUGCUCAGCUUCAGACAGACAGCUGGAGUUCAACAUGCAGGACGACAGCAUGACCUCCCCCUCUGAGAUCCAACCCAGCACCUGAGACACAGACGGAGAGACAGACAGGUGGAGAUGAUCCCCUGCCUGGAUGUCACCUGGACCUGCAGAGUUACCUGCAUGCGGAGCUCCAGGUCUCGGGCUGCCUGGUAGAUCUCCUCCUCCUCACACUCUCCAGACUGGGCCAGCUGAUCUGCUGCUUCCAGAAGCUUCUCUGCAUUAGU